rnacentral:ncRNA from 24 species
GCGUGGGUCGGCCCGCUGUACUGGAUCCAGUGGGCUGGGGGACACCGCCGCCUCCAUCCCCGCGGGCGGCGGAACGGUCCGGGGGGCGAGUCCCGCCUCCCGGACUGCG